GACGAACGCUGGCGGCGUGCCUAAUACAUGCAAGUCGGACGCAGUUGCGAACGGGUGAGUAACGCGUAGGUCACUGCCUAUUAGAGGGGGCUAACUAUUGGAAACGAUAGCGAAUACCGCCUACUAGUAGAUGGACCUGCGUUGUAUUAGCUAGUAGGUCGGGUAAUGGCCUCCCUAGGCGACGGUACAUGGCCGAGCCGGGAAGGUGGUCCGCCAAACUGGGACUGGGACACGGCCCAGACCCCUACGGGAGGCAGCAGUAGGGGAGUUUUGGCAAAGGGGGGAACCCUGAACGCACAACUGCGCGGGAGUGGAGAAAGUUUUCGGGUCGUAAAGCUCUGUUGUGAAGGGAGCGGUACUUAACCAGGAAGGGACGGCUAACUACGUGCCAGCAGCCGCGGUAAUAC
rnacentral:rRNA from 1 species